rnacentral:lncRNA from 1 species
AAUAACAGAUGCCUUUACUGCUCAAGGGUCACAUCAUUUCUGUCAUCUUAAUUUUAGCCAUCUAUGUACGUGAUCCUGUGUUACUGGGGAAAUCCAUAAAAAGUUUUGUAAUGCAUCUCUGAAUCUUAGGAGAGCAGAAGUUAUAAAUAGCUACCUGGUUCUAAGAAUGGCAGUAAGACCCUUCAUCAAACUGUCCAGGCACUAAUAGAUAAUAGACUUAUGGGGUUAUUCUUUUGAUAGUUGAAUUGUUGAUGAUAAUAACAUGUUACAGCAGAGUAACAUGUAUAUUGCAGUUUUUAAAAGGUGAGUUCUAUAUGAAGAAAAUCUGUGUGGGACAUUUUAAAGAUAUUCAGGAAACAAAGUAUACAGGUCUCAUCAGUCACUUCUCCGUUAUAUUUUAGGUGGUCUUACAGGUUAGGUUUUCCUUCCUCUAUCUCACUAAGUAAACAUCAAUUUUUGAAAGUAGGGCUCCAAAGAUUAUUUUAUUUAUUAAUGCAAUGAUAAUAGAAUAUGAAUCAUGUAAAGUUCUUUGAGGGAUUCCCUCCCUAAUGGAUGGACUUUGUCCUAAGUCCUAUUCCAGCUCAAUGUUGCUGAGCUCUGGCAACACAACUUAUACAACUGAGCAUUUUUAGGCUCACAACCCAUUUUUGGAAGAUCGACCCACACAUUUUAUGUACCAGGUUACUUUGUUUCUAUAUUACAUACUUUGUUUCUGCCAGUUG